AUACGGAGGAUCCGAGCGUUAUCCGGAUUUAUUGGGUUUAAAGGGAGCGUAGGUGGACAGUUAAGUCAGUUGUGAAAGUUUGCGGCUCAACCGUAAAAUUGCAGUUGAUACUGGUUGUCUUGAGUACAGUAGAGGUGGGCGGAAUUCGUGGUGUAGCGGGGAAAUGCUUAGAUAUCACGAAGAACUCCGAUUGCGAAGGCAGCUCACUGGACUGCAACUGACACUGAUGCUCGAAAGUGUGGGUAUCAAACAGGAUUAGAUACCCUGGUAGUCCACACAGUAAACGAUGAAUACUCGCUGUUUGCGAUAUACAGUAAGCGGCCAAGCGAAAGCAUUAAGUAUUCCACCUGGGGAGUACGCCGGCAACGGUGAAACUCAAAUGAAUUGGCGGGG
rnacentral:rRNA from 1 species